AGUGAACGCUGGCGGUAGGCCUAACACAUGCAAGUCGAACGGCAGCACAGUAAGAGCUUGCUCUUACGGGUGGCGAGUGGCGGACGGGUGAGGAAUACAUCGGAAUCUACCUUUUCGUGGGGGAUAACGUAGGGAAACUUACGCUAAUACCGCAUACGACCUACGGGUGAAAGCAGGGGAUCUUCGGACCUUGCGCGAUUGAAUUAGCCGAUGUCGGAUUAGCUAGUUGGCGGGGUAAAGGCCCACCAAGGCGACGAUCCGUAGCUGGUCUGAGAGGAUGGUCCGCCACACGGGAACCGAGAAACGGGCCAGACUCCUACGGGAGGCAAGAGUGGGGGAUUUUUGGAAAAGGGGGGAAGGCUUACGACACAAAGUCGCGGGGGGGAAGAAAGGCUUCGGGUUUGAAAACCCUUUUUUUAGGGAAAAAAAAAUGGGAGGGUAAAAACCCACGUUUUGACGGGAACCAAAAAGAAAACCACGGCUAAACACGGG
rnacentral:rRNA from 1 species